rnacentral:rRNA from 1 species
UACGGAGGGUGCAAGCGUUGUUCGGAAUUAUUGGGCGUAAAGGGCAAGUAGGUGGUCUUAUAAGUCUACUGUGAAAUCCCCGGGCUUAACCCGGGAAGUGCGGUGGAUACUGUAAGACUAGAGUGCUGGAGGGGUUCGUGGAAUUCCGGGUGUAGCGGUGGAAUGCGUAGAGAUCCGGAAGAACACCGGUGGCGAAGGCGGCCUGCUGGGCAGUAGCUGACACUGAGGCGCGACAGCGUGGGGAGCAAACAGG